GUCAGUGUGGCCGAGUGGUUAAGGCGACAGACUAGAAUGUGCUAUCCCCCUAAUUGGACAAUCACCAAAAAUCUGUUGGGUUCGCCCGCACAGGUUCAAAUCCUGUCGCUGACG